rnacentral:rRNA from 1 species
UACGGGGGGUGCGAGCGUUGUCCGGAAUCACUGGGCGUAAAGGGCGCGUAGGUGGCUUUGUAAGUUUGCGGUGAAAGCCCGGGGCUCAACCCCGGGUCUGCCGUGGAUACUGCAAGGCUUGAGCACUGUAGAGGCAGGUAGAAUAUCGGGUGUAGCGGUGGAAUGCGUAGAGAUCCGAUAGAAGACCGGUGGCGAAGGCGGCCUGCUGGGCAGUAACUGACACUGAGGCGCGACAGCGUGGGGAGCAAACAGG